UUGAUUCAUUUGUUUUGUUUCACUCAGAUAAUACCGCUAUGCAGAAACAUGAGAGUUUGGGGUCUCCGGCGGGCGCCUGGGUCCGGGCGGCAGAGGCGCCGGGGCGGUCCCGCCGAAGCAACGAUAGGUAAGGUUCACAUGGGGGUUUGGGAGUUGUAAACUCGAUAAUGAUCCCUCCGCUGGUUCACCAACGGAGA
rnacentral:misc_RNA from 1 species